AGAGUUUGAUCCUGGCUCAGGACGAACGCUGGCGGCGUGCUUAACACAUGCAAGUCGAGCGAUGAAGUUUCUUCGGAAAUGGAUUAGCGGCGAACGGGUGAGGAACUCGUGAAGAAUCUGCCCUCCACUUUGGGAUAACACCGGGAAACCGGUGCUAAUACCGAAUAUUGAAACAUAAGUGGCAUCACUGAGUUUUGAAAGAAUUUCGGUGGAGGAUGACUUCGCGGCCUAUCAGCUAGUUGGUGAGGUAAUGGCUCACCAAGGCAACGACGGGUAGCCGGCCUGAGAGGGCGACCGGCCACACUGGGACUGAGACACGGCCCAGACUCCUACGGGAGGCAGCAGUGGGGAAUAUUGGGCAAUGGAGGAAACUCUGACCCAGCGACGCCGCGUGCGGGAUGAAGGCCUUCGGGUUGUAAACCGCUUUCAGUAGGGAAGAAGCGAAAGUGACGGUACCUACAAAAGAAGCACCGGCCAACUAUGUGCCAGCAGCCGCGGUAAUACAUAGGGUGCAAGCGUUGUCCGGAAUUAUUGGGCGUAAAGAGCUCGUAGGUGGUUCGUCACGUCGGAUGUGAAACUCUGGGGCUUAACCCCAGACCUGCAUUCGAUACGGGCGAGCUUGAGUAUGGUAGGGGAGUCUGGAAUUCCUGGUGUAGCGGUGGAAUGCGCAGAUAUCAGGAGGAACACCAAUGGCGAAGGCAGGACUCUGGGCCAUUACUGACACUGAGGAGCGAAAGCGUGGGGAGCGAACAGGAUUAGAUACCCUGGUAGUCCACGCCGUAAACGGUGGGCACUAGUUG
rnacentral:rRNA from 1 species